GACAGAGGAUGCAAGCGUUAUCCGGAAUGAUUGGGCGUAAAGCGUCUGUAGGUGGCUUUUUAAGUCCGCCGUCAAAUCCCAGGGCUCAACCCUGGACAGGCGGUGGAAACUACCAAGCUGGAGUACGGUAGGGGCAGAGGGAAUUUCCGGUGGAGCGGUGAAAUGCGUAGAGAUCCGGAAGAACACCGACGGCGAAGGCAGCGCCCUGGGCGAGACCUGACGCUCAGGCACGAAAGCUGGGGGAGCAAACAGG
rnacentral:rRNA from 1 species